AUGUAAUGUAUUCAAAUGUAAUAAUUAUAAUUAGGAUUGGGAUAAUACAAAAAUAUACUUUUUGCUUAGUGAUAUCUAUUACAUUGUGACAGAAUUUGGUUUCUCAAUAAUUCUCAUCCUGAGUGCCAAACUGAUCAACUGCAUCCUAAUGGAACGUUCAAGAUGUGAUUCAGUAACUGAUACGGUAGUUGCAAUAAUUAUUUUUGACCAAAUUGAAUCCACAAAAUAAUUGAAGAAAUGGUUUCAGAUGAUUACGAACAAGCACAGCUAUCUUUGGAGAGGUAAUGCACCUACUGAUAUCCCGUGAUAAGAACUUGGGAGAGAUUUAGUGAAAACCUGGAGAACGGCCACUUGACUCACAAAUCUGAGCUGUUCACAUCAAGCUGAUAUUUGUGACAGCCAUUAUAGCUUUAAUCAUGUAAGUAAACACUUGAUCAGACUAUAAUUUUCAAUUAUUUGUAUCAAUUAACUGCGCCCGGUUCUACUCAGAAUAACAAAGGCACAGGUUUCUUUCUUUAAACUACAACAGUACUAUCACCGACAGGAGUCGAGUCGGAGCAGUGGUAGCGGACGGUCGUGUUUCGAGGAGCGCAGAUAAGAUAAACCGUUUCUUGUUUAUGCCUUUAGAAAUCUUUUUUCAUCGUAGAUCUUGUCCAUAACCUAAUCACUUACUUUAUUAAUUUAUUCUUUCAAUUAAUACGUAAUAAUCUUUCUAAUAAUAACUCAUAAUUAAUAACAUCAGUAAUAAAAUCGGUAUUGUACCUCUUAAAGUCUACUAAAGUAUUUAGUACUUGUCUCUCUACUUGAACUUAUUAGUUGCGAAUUCAUUCAUCAGUAACCAUAAUCAACCAACUUAGCUGUAUUAAACUGUAUUGAAUCGUAAAUUAUCUCUUUAUAAAUUGUAGGUUUGAAUUACUCUUACUCAUAAUAUUAAUAUAUUUUUUAACCAUCCAGGAAAUUGAAUAAACAAAAUUUUUAUAUAUCUGAUAAUUACCAAUAAAUAUUUCACUGUAUAAAUUCAUUACCGUAUAAUCGGAUACAGGCCAUUAAACCUUAAAUAAAAUGAAAAAUUAACAAAACAGGAGUCCUACUAUUUUUUUCUUUGGGAGGCUGGUGAGAGUGUUUACCGCUACUCCUGGAAACAAUUCGUCCACUAGCAUCCGUCAUAAUGGUCAUUGAACACAACUUAUUAAAUUUGUACAUCUAUAUGAGAUUUGUCCCUUCUGGGAUACGUAGCUUUUUCGAAAUUUGAAUUCGUCAACCCACAUUAAACCAUCCAUUACACUAAAGUCUGCAGUCAGACUAUUUCGUUCUGAAUUAGUCAUAUUUUAAUGAAUAAAGCAAGUAAACAGCAAAACAAAAAAAAACUUAAAUUAGCCAACAGAUUAUCAUGCAAGCAAGCUAACACAUAUUUAUAUUUUUGAUACUAAUAUACUAAUCUUGCAUCCUAUAAGCCUAUUUCAAUUCUUACAGCUCAUCAUGAAAAAUGAAUUCAGUAAGAUUAUUGUUAUAGUUGAGCGUUAAAUAUUCCACUAGGUAAUUGGUAUCAGAGCAUGUAACACUUAACUUUAUUUUUUGAAUCAUUAAAUUCAUCUGACAAUCAAUAUUUUCAUUUAUAUCUCAAUACGGACUUCCUAUGUGCUUAGUCAUGCAGCAUUUAUUAUUCCGAAAACAUAUUCCUUCUCAAUCAAUUAGUAGUAAUAUCUAUCAUUAAAGUGUUGGAUUAAAUAAAAUAGAUAGGUAAAUCAGUGUUCCAAAGAUGAAUUUAAUGCGUUCAUAGUUGUUGAUUGUCAGUAGAUGGUCCAGAAAAUACGCGAUAUACGAUGAAUCACACAGAAUUCCAUAUUAUUUCCAUCUUCCAUUUUAGGAUGAAUAUAAGCUGAGCUAAAUUCAAAAAAUUGUAAAUUAUUCUGUCAUUCUUCAGUAAUUAAUGAAUGCAAUA